UACGGGGGGAGCGAGCGUUAUUCGGAUUUACUGGGCGUAAAGGGUUCGUAGGCGGUCAAGUAAGUCAGGGGUGAAAUCUAGCGGCUCAACCGUUAAAUUGCCCUUGAAACCGCUUGACUUGAGGACAUGAUAGGAAAGCGGAAUUCUCGGUGUAGCGGUGAAAUGCGUGGAUAUCGAGAGGAACACCAGUGGCGUAGGCGGCUUUCUGGCAUGUUACUGACGCUGAGGAACGAAAGCCAGGGGAGCGAACGGG
rnacentral:rRNA from 1 species